ACCGAGUACAGUGGCGCACGGGUGAGUAACACGUAUGUGACCUACCUAUCGCUGGGGAACAACGCAGGGAGGACGGAGCUAAUUCCGCAUACGCUUUCCAACUCGCGGGUUGGAAAGGAAAGAUGGCCUCUUCAUGAAAGCUAUCGGCGAAUGAUGGGCCUGCGCGUCAUUAGCUUGUUGGUGAGGUAACGGCUCACCAAUGCUGCGAUGACUAGCUGGUCUGAGAGGAUGAUCAGCCACACUGGCACUGGAACACGGGCCANACUCCUACGGGAGGCAGCAGUGGGGAAUAUUGCGCAAUGGGCGAAAGCCUGACGCAGCAACGCCGCGUGAGUGACGAAAGCCUUCGGGUCGUAAAGCUCUGUCGAGAGGGACGAAACACCGGUGGGAACAAUACCUCGCCGGUUUGACGGUACCUCCAAAGGAAGCACCGGCUAACUCCGUGCCAGCAGCCGCGGUAAUACGGAGGGUGCAAGCGUUGUUCGGAAUUACUGGGCGUAAAGGGCGUGUACGCGGAUCAAGAAGUCGGGUGUGACAGCCCUGGGCUCAACC
rnacentral:rRNA from 1 species